AAUCUUGGACAAUGGGGGAAACCCUGAUCCAGCAAUCCCGCGUGUAUGAGGACGGCCUUCGGGUUGUAAAGCACUAUCGGCAGAGAAGCAAAGGUAUCUCCUACUACGUGAUACUGCUGACGGUAUCUGCAGAAUACGCACCGGCUAACUACGUGCCAGCAGCCGCGGUAAUACGUAGGGUGAAAGCGUUAAGCGGAAUUACUGGGCGUAAAGCCUGUGACGUGGGUUCGGAAAGAAAGAUGUGAAAUCCCAGGGCUCGACCUUGGAACUGCAUUUUUAACUGCCGAGCUAGAGUAUGUCAGAGGGGGGUAGAAUUCCACGUGUAGCAGUGAAAUGCGUAGAUAAGUGGAGGAAUACCGAUGGCGAAGGCAGCCCCCUGGGAUAAUACUGACGCUCAGACACGAAAGCGUGGGAAGCAAACAG
rnacentral:rRNA from 1 species